AACCGCGUAGCUCAGUUGGCAGAGCAUUGGGCUAGCAUUCCAAAGGUCGUAGGUUCGAUUCCCACUGUGGUCA
rnacentral:tRNA from 1 species